rnacentral:rRNA from 1 species
UACGUAGGGGGCAAGCGUUGUUCGGAAUUACUGGGCGUAAAGGGCGCGUAGGCGGCAUGGCAAGUCGGGAGUGAAAGGCCUGGGCUCAACCGAGGAACUGCUUUCGAGACUGCCAAGCUAGAGUGCGGAAGGGGCAUCUGGAAUUCCCAGUGUAGCGGUGAAAUGCGUAGAUAUUGGGAAGAACACCUGAGGCGAAGGCGGGUUGCUGGGCUGACACUGACGCUGAUGCGCGAAAGCCAGGGGGGCGAACGGG